AUGAUCAGGUUGAAGGUUGGGUAACACCAACUGGAGGACCGAACCCACGCCUGUUGAAAAAGUCGGGGAUGAAUUGUGGCUAGGGGUGAAAGGCCAAUCAAACUCGGAAAUAGCUGGUUCUCCGCGAAAACUAUUUAGGUAGUGCGGCAGCCGGACACCUUGAGGGGUAGAGCACUGGAAGAACUAGAGGAGAGCGAUCUUUAUCAAAUUCUACCAAACUCCGAAUACUCAAGAGUGAUAGUUGCCAGACAGACUCUAGGUGCUAAGGUCUAGGGUCGAGAGGGAAAGAGCCCAGACCGUCGAUUAAGGUCCCAAAAUUAUGGCUAAGUGGUAAAGGAAGUGGAUUGUCCAAAACAGUCAGGAGGUUGGCUUAGAAGCAGCCAUCCUUUAAAGAAAGCGUAAUAGCUCACUGAUCUAGCUAAGACGAUUUGCGCCGAAGAUGUAACGGGGCUAAAGCCAUAUACCGAAAUCACGGGUUCAUAUGAUGAAUAUGAGCGGUAGCGGAGCGUUCUGUAGGCCUGCGAAGGUGUUCCGUAAGGGAUGCUGGAGGUAUCAGAAGUGAGAAUGCUGACAUGAGUAGCGAAAAGGAGUGUGAGAGACACUCCCGCUGAAAGUCCAAGGUUUCCUGCGUAAAGCUAAUCUGCGCAGGGUUAGUCGGCCCCUAAGGCGAGGCUGAGAAGCGUAGUCGAUGGGAAGCAGGUUAAUAUUCCUGCACCAGGUGGGAAGUGACGGAUGACAGGUGUUGUAACUGAUUAAUGGAUUUUGGUUGCAGCUGAGUUGUCCCGGGAAAUAGCCCCACUAUAGACCGUACCCGAAACCGACACAGGUGGACAGGUAGAGAAUACCAAAGCGCUUGAGAGAACUAUGUUGAAGGAACUAGGCAAAAUACUUGCGUAACUUCGGGAUAAGCAAGCCCCAUUUUUGGGCAACCAGAGGUGGGGGGCACAUACUAGGGGGUAGCGACUGUUUACUAAAAACACAGGACUCUGCUAAAUUGAAAGAUGAAGUAUAGGGUCUGACGCCUGCCCGGUGCCGGAAGGUUAAGGAGAGAUGUGCGAGCAUUGAACUGAAGCCCCGGUAAACGGCGGCCGUAACUAUAACGGUCCUAAGGUAGCGAAAUUCCUUGUCGGGUAAGUUCCGACCUGCACGAAUGGCGUAACGACUUCCCCGCUGUCUCCAACAUAGGCUCAGCGAAAUUGAACUCUGAGUUAAGAUGCUCAGUACCCGCGGUUAGACGGAAAGACCCCGUGAACCUUUACUAUAGCUUUGCAGUGGUAUUAGGUAAGAGAUGUGUAGGAUAGGUGGGAUGCUAUGAAGCUUGGACGCUAGUUUGAGUGGAGCAGACGUUGAAAUACCACCCUUCUGUUAUUUGAUAUCUAACCUGCUGCCCUGAACGGGUAGAGGGACCCUGCAUGGUGGGUAGUUUGACUGGGGCGGUCGCCUCCCAAAGAGUAACGGAGGCGUGCAAAGGUUAGCUCAGACUGGUCGGAAAUCAGUCGUUAGAGUGCAAUGGCAUAAGCUAGCUUGACUGCGAGAGAGACAUUUCGAGCAGAGACGAAAGUCGGUCAUAGUGAUCCGGUGGUCCCGAGUGGAAGGGCCAUCGCUCAACGGAUAAAAGGUACUCCGGGGAUAACAGGCUGAUUCCGCCCAAGAGUUCACAUCGACGGCGGAGUUUGGCACCUCGAUGUCGGCUCAUCACAUCCUGGGGCUGGAGAAGGUCCCAAGGGUUUGGCUGUUCGCCAAUUAAAGUGGUACGCGAGCUGGGUUUAGAACGUCGUGAGACAGUUCGGUCCCUAUCUGCCGUGGGUGUAGGAUACUUGAAAGGAUUUGUCUUUAGUACGAGAGGACCGAGAUGAACAGACCUCUGGUGUGUCAGUUGUUCUGCCAAGAGCAACGCUGAGUAGCUAAGUCUGGACGGGAUAACCGCUGAAUGCAUCUAAGCGGGAAACCCACCUUGAAACUAGGUAUCCCCAUUAAGACCGUGGUAGACCACCACGUUGAUAGGUUAGGUGUGUAAGCACAGCAAUGUGUUUAGCUAACUAAUACUAAUAGUCUGAUUGGCUUGAUU
rnacentral:rRNA from 1 species